CAUACAGUACGUAAGUACGCGAGCAGUAUGUAGUAGGGUAUUUCAAACACAAGUGUAGAUUUUAGAAAUAAAGUAGUAAUAUUUCGAGAAUAAAAGAGGCUAAUUGUAGAGGACUGACAGAAAAACCGACAUGAAAGUAUCAUUUUAACACGAGGAGUUCUGCCCCUAGGUGGCGCCAGAUGUUAACAUUGCCGGUAAGGAAAGCCAGCCAGUGUAAUCUGAUUAUGAGGAAAUUUAGGACAACUUCAUCUCUCAGGCUCAUCAGAUCAGAUCCCGAUAGUCUUGUGCAGUAACCCGAUGGCUGAUUCCUGAAUCUACCUGCUGACCCGGGAUUAUGGGCGCGUGUGGGCUGACGGACGGCUGGACGCUGCCCAAUGGGUGACGAGAUCGACCGUUUACAUAUCGGCCAGCGAUUCUGAGACUGACUGCGAGUCGGACUUUGAGGGCAAUUCAGUGUCUCCAAUUAACCUGGCUGCAUGUCUUUGGACUGUGGGAGGAAACCAGAGCUCCCAGAGGAAACCCACGCAGACACGGGGAGAACAUUCAAACUCCGCACAGAAAAGACCCGGACCGCCCCGCCUGGAGAUCGAACCCAGGACCUUCUUGCUGUGAGGCGACAGUGCUACCCACUUAGCCACCGUGCCACUCUAAA